ensembl:lncRNA novel transcript, antisense to BAZ2B
CAAUCAAAAGCAAAAAGGUAAAGCAAUGAACAUGGAGACAGUGUAAACAGAAGCAUACAAGAUUUACUUAUGGUCAGUUGUGAUGCUCCUUCAAAAGCUGGCAGAACAAAAAGCAUAAUGGUUGGCUGGAACAGCCUGUGCAUGCAAAACAGG